rnacentral:rRNA from 1 species
CCUCCAGACUCCUACGGGAGGCAGCAGUGGGGAAUAUUGCACAAUGGGGGAAACCCUGAUGCAGCGACGCCGCGUGAAGGAUGAAGUAUUUCGGUAUGUAAACUUCUAUCAGCAGGGAAGAAAAUGACGGUACCUGGCUAAGAAGCCCCGGCUAACUACGUGCCAGCAGCCGCGGUAAUACGUAGGGGGCAAGCGUUAUCCGGAUUUACUGGGUGUAAGGGAGCGUAGACGGCAUGGCAAGUCUGGAGUGAAAGCCCGGGGCCCAGCCCCGGGACUGCUCUGGAAACUGUGGAGCUUGAGUGCGGGAGGGGCAGGCGGAAUUCCUAGUGUAGCGGUGAAAUGCGUAGAUAUUAGGAGGAACACCGGCGGCGAAGGCGGCCUGCUGGACCGUAACUGACGUUGAGGCUCGAAAGCGUGGGGAGCAAACAGGAUUAGAUACCCGAGUACC